UACAUGUGGGGCAAGCGUUGUUCGGAUUUACUGGGCGUAAAGAGCGCGCAGGCGGUCGAUCAAGUCGAGUGUGAAAGCCCCCGGCUCAACUGGGGAGGGUCAUUCGAAACUGGUCGACUCGAAGGCAGGAGAGGGUAGUGGAAUUCCCGGUGUAGUGGUGAAAUGCGCAGAUAUCAGGAGGAACACCGGUGGCGAAGGCGGGUCUCUGGGCCGAAACUGACGCUGAGGAGCGAAAGCGUGGGGAGCAAACAGG
rnacentral:rRNA from 1 species